GAGAAAUUAAUGACACUGGUGUCAGGGCGGCUAGGUGGUCUAGUGGAGUAAGUCUCCGGCAAAGCAUCUCUAGAUACCAGGUUCGAUUCUUGGCUCCGUCGUUAAUUUUUCGAAUUUACAGAUCGGAA